UCUCUCUGAGGGAAGGAGAGAUAGGAAACCUUAGGGCCUAGUAGUCCCUAGGAGAGUCAGAUCUGACUAGGAGGAGUGGAAGCAAGGUAAGACAUAGUCCAGAGGUAAAAGCAGUAAUGUUAGAUAAGCUGCACACCUUGACUUCUUGGUAAAGGACCCUGGACUGGAACUCAGAGUAGAGGGUGAGUCUGGGUUUCCCUACCAACCAUUGCAGAGCGGUACUGCUUGGGGUAGUGAAUUAGAAGACUGCCUGGGUCAUUGCAGGAGUGACAGGGUCAGGCUGUUGGGCAUGAGGACUGCUGAUGCUGCUUGAGCAGAAAGACUUUGAAGGACUCCACCCUGGAAGGGGAAACCACUUAGUUACUGGCCGGAGGACCAAGUUGUGAAGAGGAAGCUUCAGCUCCUGGAGUGAGACAGGAGCCGCAGAAUGAGCAAGAGACAGAGAGUGAUGGAUGGGGUGUGAGCCUGGCAGAGCUAAUCCCCAGAACAGCCAGGAGGAGGCACUGUUGAGUGAUGCCAGUGGGAGUUGCAUACCCCAUAAGCAUUGGCAGAAGUAGUAAUGUACACCACCCUGGCCUUUGCAGCAUUGCAGAAUCUGACUCAUAGACAAGAAAAGGAACUCAGUCAUUCAGCAUAUCUGAAGAGGCAGAGAGACAGGGGCUCCAAAAGCUUCAAUAAAAUGUUAUGUGUGACAGAACAGACAGCUGGUGAAAAGAGGAGACUCAUCUUACGGCAAAGUGACAUUGAGAGCUUUCAGAGAUGCUUGCUGUGUUCACGCUAGAGAAAACCUUGAUGUGUGCAAUAAUCUACAGCCACAGCCUUGAAGAUUUCUCUCUUUUUCUCUUUUCCCAUCCUCUGUUCUCAAUAUACCUGUAAAGCAUCAAGAUGAGCUAAAGAGCACUCAGACAAUUUUU